AGUUGGAUUUAGACAAUGUUGCAGUCCUGGAGACGCCUCUGCCCCCUGUGGCUGAAGAGCUGCGGGCUCUCCUGCGGCAGAAGCGCCUGGCUGCCUCUCUGGAUGCCUAGGGUUGGAAGGACCAGUGUCCUUUUUCCUCUCCAGUGGCAUGAGGAGAUGAUCAUCACUGGAAGAAACCCUUGAAC